CUCCAGACUCCUACGGGAGGCAGCAGUGAGGAAUAUUGGUCAAUGGCCGUAAGGCUGAACCAGCCAAGUCGCGUGAAGGAAGAAGGAUCUAUGGUUUGUAAACUUCUUUUAUAGGGGAAUAAAGGUAUCCACGUGUGGAUAUUUGCAUGUACCCUAUGAAUAAGCAUCGGCUAACUACGUGCCAGCAGCCGCGGUCAUACGUAGGAUCCGAGCAUUAUCCGGAGUGACUGGGUGUAAAGAGUUGCGUAGGUGGCAUAAUAAGUAGCUAGUGAAAUCUGGUGGCUCAACCAUUCAGACUAUUAGCUAAACUGUUAAGCUCGAGACCGUUAGGGGUAACUGGAAUUUCUAGUGUAGGAGUGAAAUCCGUAGAUAUUAGAAGGAACACCAAUAGCGUAGGCAGGUUACUGGGACGGUUCUGACACUAAGGCACGAAAGCGUAGGGAGCAAACGGGAUUAGAUACCCCUGUA
rnacentral:rRNA from 1 species